rnacentral:rRNA from 1 species
GACGAACGCUGGCGGCGUGCCUAAUACAUGCAAGUUGAGCGCUGACGGAUGGUACUUGUCCCAACUGGAUGAGCAGCGAACGGGUGAGUAACGCGUGGGGAAUCUGCCUUUGAGCGGGGGACAACAUUUGGAAACGAAUGCUAAUACCGCAUAAAAACUUUAAACACAAGUUUUAAGUUUGAAAGAUGCAAUUGCAUCACUCAAAGAUGAUCCCGCGUUGUAUUAGCUAGUUGGUGAGGUAAAGGCUCACCAAGGCGAUGAUACAUAGCCGACCUGAGAGGGUGAUCGGCCACAAUGGGACUUGGACACGGCCCAAACUCCUACGGGAGGCAGCAGGAGGGAAUUUUCGGCAAUGGACGAAAGUCUGGCCGAGCAACGCCGCGUGAGGGAAGAAGGUUUUCGGAUCGGAAAAGUCUGUUGGUAGAGAAGAACGUUGGUGAGAGUGGAAAGCUCAUCAAGUGACGGUAACUACCCAGAAAGGGACGGCUAACUACGUG